CAGGAUCAAUAUGGCGAUAACCCUGUCUCCCGGGGCAUGGAGAGCACAUCCAGUUUGGUGUUUCACUCUUGCUCCUUCCCUUCUUGUGUCACGGACACAAGUCCCAUUACUCCCAUCCCCGUGCGAAAGGGCCAAGGAAAGGAGCGCCAUAGUCCCUCGACUUCACACCUGCUUGGCGUCCUUCCUCCACAGAACCCAGCACUGCCCACCUUGCCCAGGUCUCUGAGCCGUUAAGCACGUCCAGACGACAAGGUGUGGGUCUCCUGAAGAGUGGAAACCAACAGCUGUGAAAUAGUGCACUGGAACCGGCUCCUGGUUUGUCAUCAGACUGUUUCCAAGUGACAUUCAAUUUUAAGCCACCUCAAGAGAUUUGAUUUUGAUGAUGACACAACCACAAAAUCUCUUGUGAUUUCCAGUAUGCUUAUUUUAAACGCACCAAGGAAUUGAGCACAGCUGUUGCCGAUGCAAUAAUAGAAAACGUCAUCAUUUCCAGUAUUAACAACAACAACAAAAGGUGAAGGCAGGCAUGAUUCCCAGGAACAGCGUGGCGCCCGUGUGCGCUUCAGUUUGACGGGUCAGCUGACUGCUG